rnacentral:lncRNA from 10 species
GCGGCGCCCAGGGACCGGCUCCAGGCGGCGGCGGGCGGGGAGCUGCCAGGAGGAGCCCAGGCACCAUACUGUCUUUUCGAGGUAGGAGUCGACUCCUGUGAGGUAUGGUGCUGGGUGCAGAUGCAGUGUGGCUCUGGAUAGCACCUUAUGGACAGUUGUGUCCCCAAGGAAGGAUGAGAAUAGCUACUGAAGUCCUAAAGAGCAAGCCUAACUCAAGCCAUUGGCACACAGGCAUUAGACAGAAAGCUGGAAGUUGAAAUGGUGGAGUCCAACUUGCCUGGACCAGCUUAAUGGUUCUGCUCCUGGUAACGUUUUUAUCCAUGGAUGACUUGCUUGGGUAUGGAGAGUCGGCUUGACUACACUGUGUGGAGCAAGUUUUAAAGAAGCAAAGGACUCAGAAUUCAUGAUUGAAGAAAUGCAGGGUUUUUAAUGACCACAACAAGCAAGCAUGCAGCUUACUGCUUGAAAGGCUGGAGUGCAGUGGU